rnacentral:rRNA from 1 species
GAGAGUAUCCUCAGGUGAGCGAGAGAACUCUCGUUAAGGAACUCGGCAAAAUGGCCCCGUAACUUCGGGAGAAGGGGCGCUGGUCGCAAGAUCAGCCGCAGUGAAAAGGCCCAAGCAACUGUUUAUCAAAAACACAGGCAUCUGCAAAAUCGUAAGAUGAAGUAUAGGUGCUGACACCUGCCCGGUGCUGGAAGGUUAAGAGGAGAGCUUAGCGCAAGCGAAGGUUUGAAUUGAAGCCCCAGUAAACGGCGGCCGUAACUAUAACGGUCCUAAGGUAGCGAAAUUCCUUGUCGGGUAAGUUCCGACCUGCACGAAAGGUGUAAUGAUUUGGGCACUGUCUCAACGAGAGACUCGGUGAAAUUAUAAUACCCGUGAAGAUGCGGGUUACCCGCGACAGGACGGAAAGACCCCAUGGAGCUUUACUGCAGUUUAAUAUUGGGUAUCUGUCAAGCAUGUACAGGAUAGGUAGGAGCCGGAGAAGAUAGGACGCCAGUCUUAUCUGAGGCGCUGUUGGGAUACUACCCUUGCUUGACGGAUGCUCUAACUCAGGCCUGUGAUCCAG